rnacentral:tRNA from 1 species
GCGCCCGUAGCUCAGUCGGAUAGAGCACCAGAUUCCUAAUCUGGGGGUCGCAGGUUCGAAUCCUGCCGGGCGCACCA